GUGGUGGUAGUUUAGUGCUAGAAUUCUCACCUUCCAUGCGGGAGACCUGGGUUCAAUUCUAGCCAACGCA
rnacentral:tRNA from 1 species